CCUCGUAAAAGUUUCAGAAGCUCCCAAGCACCAUGAUAGGCUGCCAGUCUUCAACACAUGGGCCUUGUUGGGGGAAAUCCAAAUCACAAAAAUCUGUGUGACUGGUAGUCUAAGGCAAUGCGAGUGGGGCAUGGAGUCCUCUAAAUCUUCUCGGUGGCGGAUCUUGUCAUUCCCAAGAGAUGGACCCCCUCUCUUCUCUCUUUGAGGCUGAGCCAGCCUUUCUGGAUGCCACAAUGGCUGUGGAAACUUCUGAGGCCGUGUCUCAGAAGAUUUUCUCUGAGCCUUGGAGGAGGUGACAGGGUUGUCCCAUUUAGGACUGAGCAUGGCACCAAGAUAACACGCUUGUGAUCACCAUGUUGUAAGAAAGCUCAGAGCCUCCUGGAGAGUCCAUGCAGUGUUCCAGUGAAGGUUCCAGCUGACAGCCAGCACCAACCACUAGCUAUCAGAUACUGGCCAUGUGAGGAGUCAAACAGUUCCAGCCUCGGACAUCAAGCCACUGCCCUAAGCAAGGAGAGCUGAGGAGAGUCGCGCAACCUUUAUGAGUGAUGCCCAAAUUGCCCAUCCAUGAUCAGAGGAAAUGCUGGUGCUAUUUUGGGUGCUCCACUUGGGGAUGAUUUGUUAUGCAGCAAUAAACAAAGAGAACAAAUGUC